rnacentral:rRNA from 1 species
CCCUUAGAUGUUCUGGGCUGCACGCGUGCUACAAUGGCGCUUGCAACAAGUCUUGCCAACCCGAUAGGGUGAGCGGAUCUUUGAAGAGGCGUCGUGAUCGGGACAGUUGAUUGCAAUUAUUCGACUCGAACGAGGAAUUCCUUGUAAUCGCGAUUCAUCAUAUCGCGCUGAAUACGUCCCUGCCCUUUGUACACACCGCCCGUCGCUCCUACCGAUUGAGCGAUCCGGUGAAUGUUUUGGACUGCGUCAGAAGCGGUUCGCUCCUGACACUACGAAAUUUUGUAAACCUUAUCGCUUAGAGGAAGGAAAAGUCGUAACA